rnacentral:rRNA from 2 species
CAGUACGUGAAGCCGCAUACAGGUAAACGGGUGGCGUCAAGCUGCUAUUCCAGAGGACUCAGCUGGCUAGGAUGUUGUGCAUGUGCCUAGUGCAUCAAACAGUCAGAGUAGGAUGUGAUAGUCCGCCUUUAAACGGUGGCCCUGGUCGCAAGGCUGGGUGAUGUGUACCGGGUGGAAGCCGGAGCAUGCUAUUCGUCUAUGGACUGUCUAGCCAGUGCAUUUUCUCUGGUAUACACCACGACCGGUGGAACUGCCAGUCUGCCAUAAUCAAGUCGUGCUGGGUGAGUCCAUGUGGCCAACUCAGUGCGAUCACGGACAAAUGCAGUAAACGGCGCAGAAGUGUUUCGGCAUUUCUGCGUGUUAUCGGCUACUGGUUGUCAACGGGUCGGCCUUUUGAUUGUUGUAACCGUCAAUUGGUGGCCUGGUGGGUUAUGGUGGUAAGAAAAACUGUGCAGGGCACCGGGUUAGACGGCCUCAAACGCACUCUGCAUGCACGUUGCAAGUGGCGUGAGGUGUCGCUGCUGCCUGCCCGAGGUUGGUUCUGAUUGUCGUGUCGCCUGCGCAAAGUGGGCCCGACAAUGGGCCGAUGCGGGAUGGGUUGUAAGCGGUAUCGCAUGUGCAGAGUGUAGAGGGCCUUAUAGUCAGUGGUGCUGUGGUAGACGAGCUACCCGACCCGUCUUGAAACACGGACCAAGGAGUUUAACAUGUAUGCGAGUCAAUGGGCCCUACGAAACCCAAAGGCGCAGUGAAAGUGAAGCUUCGAUUUAUUCUCGGAGUGAGGUGAGAUCCUGCCGUUACUCGCAUCAGCCUAAUGCCAGCAUCAGGCUAAGAGCGGUGGGCGCAUCACCGGCCCGUCCCAUGAUGUGGUUGUUGGAUGUCUGCAGUCUUUGUUUGC